ACAUUCAUACUUACAAACUUUCACGUUUAUAAUAUUAGUAGGAUGUAAGUAUGUGCAUGAUGAUAAUAAAGUGGGUUACAUAAAUGUUUUUAAAUCAUUAGAAGCAUAAAUGAUGAAGUUUUAAAUAUGCACAUUAAAACAUGUAGACUUAUUAGUAAUAAAGUGUAGUGGCACAAGAAAAAGACAAGAAACUAACCACGCAUCUGAAGCUGUGACGCACAGUGAACUAUGGGGUUUCAGCAAACCAGUGUCAAAAUUAUUUCAGCUACUGUCUGUUGCAAUACCAAUCAAAGCAAUCCAGCGCGGAAGCAAAAUCAUCCUCAGUGGCUCCGUCACGUAAGCCAACGACUUCUCAUCGCAGAUGGCCGCCAAUCACAAGGAAGAAACCACUGAAGCGGGUAUACCUUGUAGCUGUCUGAUCGGCGUUCAAAAUUUUUUGUGUAAAAUGCUUGACCCUAAUAAAUUAGUUUAAAAGUUAAUUUUAUGCCCUGAGUAAAUAAUAUUUCAGAAGUUUAAAUUUGAAAUUAUUUUUUGUUUUGUUUUAAUACCUGCCAGACGUGACCACUGCAAUUGCGCAAUAAAAAUAAAAAAGGUUCGUGCACAAGACACCAUGCAUUUCUGGUUUUGUUGUGAGGUAAUGUGAAAUUAAUUUUCAUAUUCAUAUAGAUUUAUUUAAAAACCUGUAAACCCAAUGCUGGAGACUUAAUACAUAAAUAAUUCAUGUGUAAGCAACUUCGAUAUGAAACUUUUUUUUAGAUAAGAGAAAAUUGCUCAAGGUAAAUGUUAUUCCAAAGCUUACUUCCCAAAACAAUUUAAAACCUUGCAUGGAAAAAAAAAAAAAAAAAAAAAAGAAGGAAAAAACCACGCCAUUUUAAUCUAACUGUCAAUUACGAAAACCUUACGUAUUUAAUUUCUGGAAUUUAGUUUAUUCUUUACGAAACUGGCAAUUCUUCACAUAACCAUAACAUAAUACAUAGUACAAAACAAUUUUCGGAUGAACUUUAUUUACACUCAGAACAAUUCAUUUCAUUUUUGAAGCUUAAGAUGUUUUAAUGACACAAAACAUGCAAUUGAUCAUGAACCACAUUAAAACAAUAUGUUAUAUUAUUUUUCCAUGUUUGCACUUAUAGUGACAUAUGUCAUUAAAGCUGCCUUUUACCCCAAAAUUAUAUUAUUUUGUAUAAAAUUAACGCCGGUAGUCAAAUAUGAAAAUAACCGUACUUUUUUUUAGUUAUCUCAAAGAAUAAGCAUCGCUUGUUCUUACAGCAACUACACAUUAUAAACGAAUGUAGAAAGUCAUCAGCUAUUGGUUUUGGGUGUUUUGGCUAUAGAUUAUAGCCCUCUGUAUUGGUAAAAUAAAUGUAUAAACUGGAAAAGACUAAGAACUAAAAAUCUUUGUAACAAGUUUCUUUCCUACAAAUAUGUACAAAUGUACAUAGAAUAUCCAUAACUUGGUUUGAGUAAAAAAAAAAAAAAAAAACGCAAUGUAAAAGGAGUUAUUUUGUGACCACAAAAUAUUUCCUUAGUGUGUCAUUCUGUGUAUUUUGUGGUGGUUAUUUAGUAAUAAGUUUCAAAAUGUGUGUUACGGCUUAGCUGAACACUUUUAAAAACCCUGACUAUCUUCAUUAUUUAGUAUUGUAUCAUUAUGCUAAACGGCAAAACUUACGUUGUGCUUGACGUAGUGACUUAUGUUCAGACAUCAUGAAGAAAAGUGAAAAUAUAACACACUUCAAAAUGCUGCCACACACUAAUUACUACUCCAGUUUAAAUAAAGGUGGCAAAUAAAACGUUAAUGCACUGAACUAUACUUUUGCGCUUUUAUUGCCAACUUAAUCGGUUCUUUACUAGAAAAUACAUAUUACAUUAUACGCAGUUUUGGGCAGAGAUGUUUUCAAGGGUUAAUUUUAUAAAGUAUUAAAGUUAUGCGUAAAUGGACGGUAUGCAUUAAAAAUAAUUACUUCCCUGUAACUAAUUUUCUUAAAAUUAAUAAGCAUGUGCAAAUCAAUUAUCAAUAUAUAUCAAUCAAAACAUAUAACAACUUUCAGCUGUAUAAUUAUGUACAGAAACCUAAUUUCUGAAAUAAAAAUUAUUUGAAAAUUC